AGGAAAACGUGUUGCGCAUCUCUAGUUUGAUAUGAGCUUUAGUAUCUCCCCACUACAGUGCGAGAAAAGUCAGGGCAAAGGAUUGAAAAGAAGUUCACAACAAAAAAGUUUGAACACAAGCAAACCUGAAACAGAUGCAGGGUAGUAGAUCUUAAGGGUGCGUUGCUCACUCCAGGGCCUGCUGCCACCCAGAUGGCUGGCAAACACCAGGACUCCGAACACAACAGGAUUCAGGGAUUCAGACAGGAGUCUUGCUCUACCAAUUAUUAUAGGAUCUUAGGGAUGCCUUUCCAGUAAAGCUAACAAAAAACAAAACAAAAUAAAACCAUAUCCAAAAUACUAAACAGCUGUCUCCAAGAUCAGAAGGCAUCAGAAAAGACCCUCAAGAGUUGUCUAAUCCCAGAGGAAGAUCUUAAGUGGGGAUGUGCUCACAGCAGAAACCUUGGAAAUUUCAGGGAGUGAAAUUUUAUUGUCAGAACUUUCAAUAAAAGUGUAGCCACAGAUCCUGGGAGCAUUAAAUAAAAAUUACCAACAAGCUGUCUUACCUGUGUGCACUCCACUGAAAGGAAGGGCAAACAUGAGCAAGGAGCUCUUGUACAUCAGUCAAAAUUCUGACAGCUACCCUGUGAAGUUUGACGGGCUGCCAUGUGCUAGACUACCUAAGAUACUCUUAACUGAACCAUAAAAAG
rnacentral:lncRNA from 1 species